rnacentral:misc_RNA from 1 species
UGGUGAUUGCCCCCGUGCAUUGACCGGGAGCCAAACGGGUGUGCCAACACCGGAAUCAUAAGAGCUGGGCACACAGCGAAUCGAAAGGAGCGAGCCAGCGCACAUUCACACGCCCGCACGUUGACCCCAUCAAAAGACGUUCUCCGGGAGCUCAAGAGAGGGGGGGGAGGUGAGCGGUGCAGAAGCCGUGUGGAAAGGAUUCCAGACAGCCGCGAGCGAUGGUGCGCGUUGCCAUGUCCAGUCACAUUGAGCAGGCUGCCACUUGCUUGCGUUGCGGCAACCACGACGGAGCCGCUGCCGCGCUGCGGGAGCUGGAGGUGGGUGAGGGUGUGCGGACGCUGCAAACUGCAGUGCAGUGCCUCAUGAACGAGAAGGGCGCGAGCGAUGACGUGUAUGUGCGCUUCGUCGCCUUCAAGGUGCUGGCGUAUGCGCUGACGCGCUGCCGAGAUGGCCGUCGGCAGCAAAGCGACACGGUGAUCGCUUUUCUACUCGGCUACGCCUAUCAAAUGACGGCGCAGGUGGAGACGCCCGCGUGGACGCCGGUAGUGUCGGAACUCGCCACAGCCACAGCUGUGGCGCUCAAACUCGGCUGCGUCGGUGAUAAUCUCGACGUUUGCGUGGAGGAGGUAACAGCAGUGUGCGUGGGCCUCGUUGAUUUAGCGCAGACCUGCACUCCAUCUCCAAAGGCAUACCUUCAUCGCAUCAUCUGCCAGUCCGCUGUGGAGGAGUUCGGUCUUUUCAGCGCGCCCUCCCGCUAUCGAGGAUUGCCAGUGCGCGUGCACCGGCACUGCCGGAAACUGUUCGCCGAGGAGGGCCGUCUACCCACCCUAAUUCAGGCCCUCCUUCGCGGCCUCCUCGUGUCAGCAGGUGAGUCAUCUAUGUCUGUGGACAAGGGGCUAACGGCACUGGUGUCGUGCCUAUCCUGGCCGUCGCAUCAGUUUUUCGAGGAGGACUCGUCGACCGAGGAGUCGUGUGGCGUGUUCUACGUCGCCCAUGAGGAGUGGGAUCGGUUGCUUGUCGGCGACGUGGGCCUCGAGAGCGGCGCGUGCGUCACUGUGCACGGUGUGCUGCGGGAGUGGUACGGAAGCGGCGCCGUGAACGGCGUGCCGGUCAAUCGGCAGAAGGUCAUCGAGAUUAUUCAGCUCUUGUGCUCUUUCAAGGGCAGCGAAUGGACGGAGGGGCAGACACUGCGCUUCCUUGUGUCUUCCCUGUCGCUAUGCCUGGAUGUGUUCGAGCACCUGUCCCAGUGGGCCACGGAAGACGAUUUUCACCUUUUCCCGCUUUUGGCCAACGCGAUCCUGCGACUGGUGUCGAACUACGUGGACUUCUUCUUUCACCCGCAGGCGCACGCCCUCGUCUCGCGACUGACGGCCUUGACAGGCUUUCUUAUUCGACGCGACACUUCUAGCAACACUGACACUGAUGUGAUGUCGUGUGUGGAUGAGAUGCUGAGCGUCUGGUUUCACUUAACGUCCUACAUUGACCGUAACAGCUUUUCCGGAAACGGCUCCGAGACGAUUGCGCAACGCCACCUUAUCAGCCAAGGUUGCCAAUCCAUCUUCUCCACGUAUCUCGACACCAAAGUUAACACUGACACCGCCGAGCUGGAGCUGGACUGCUUUGCCGACACCUUCACCAAUUCGCACCUGCACCUCGUUGCGCAGGUCGGCCGCCUCUGCGCUAGCAACACAUGCGAGCUGCUUAUCCGAUACUUGCGGUCGCUGCGAUCCACCUUGGCGAGCACCCUCGGUGCUGGCGGCGCUGCUCCUACGCCGCUCUUCGAGGCUCUUUGGACGCUGCUGAAGAUUGUCGGCUUCUUCAUUGCCGACCCGCUCGAGGGUGAGCAGCCCUACAUCCCUCGCUGCUUCCUUGAGAUGGGCUCACAAGGCAGUGCGUUGCUGCUUCACCUUGUCAAGGAGGUGGACGCACUUCUGCCACUGCUGCAGAACCCUGCAGCGGCGAGCCCGGCAGUGCUCGCGGCCUUCCUUGACGUCCUCACACAGUACAUCAAAACGUAUGUUGAGGCCGAGGAAAGCUGCACCCUCUACGCCGACGCCUUCAGCGGUGGUGCGGACAUGGUUGCGCAGUCGCUGCUUGCCGUAGUGGGUGCACUACGCCUCACUCCCUUCGAGGAGGAGUCGACUUCUGCAGCUUGUCGGCUACUCGACUCCGUGGCAGACAAGAGCAGCCGCGUGCGCAGCUUCUGCCACCGUCAGGAGGCGUUUCAGGCGUUGACGCGGGCUGUACAGGAAAUUCAUCGAUUUCGCUUUUACGGACACACACGGGGACGCCUCAUCGCGUUUGUCAUCUCGUGCUGCUCAGACGCAGACAGCGUGCAGGCACGGCUUCGCGACUUAGCCCUCUCACCGUCCUCUGAGGAUGAUGUGAACCUGGUGCUAGAGCUGCUCAGUUCACUGGCGGGGCUUUUCGAGUCGCUGCACAGCCAGCAGGUUAUUCGGUGCGUCUUUCCGGCCUUGCUCGCGACAGGACAGCGACUGAUUGGCGUAUCCGCCUCGAAGUUUUAUGAGCGCGAGAUCGUCAUCGAGUCUAUGCAGUGUGUGCGCAGCAUGUUUGUCACCUGCUCGCCUCUUCUGGAGGACAGCGACAUUCGCAUGCUGCUGGACCUUGUCGUCGCGGAGCUGCGCUACGCUGUGACGGCCCUGCAGAGCAGCAGCGCGUGGACUUCUGCCGACGGCGAGGGCGACAGAGCCGAGUUCAUUAUCGCAACCGCGAGGCUUCUCAGCUCCCUGGCGCAGUGGAAGGCGCUGGACUGCUUUCUCUCCGACGACGACACACGCGCAGUCUCGAUUGCCACAGUGGAGGCCGCCGGUGCGUUGCUGCGUCACAUGGACGAGCGCUCACUGAGCUUGCCGAGUCUCGAGGAUGGUAUUUUCACCUGUAUGGAGCUCUGCGCCGAGUCUUUCACCGCGGACUUUGUGUUUGCAAGCUGCUCCGAUGCGUUUCUCUCCGCUAUGCUAUACGCACUCAACAGUGAGCGGGCCAACAUCCAACGCGCCGGCAUCUCCGUCACAGCCAGCGUCGCAGCCUUCUUGGAGGCUUCCACUCCCCCGGCGAGUCACGCCAGCGCGUGCUGCGACCUGCUGAAGGUCGUGCUGCGCUCCCUGACGUCCGGAAAAGUGUUCUUCAGAAAUCUACGGCAGAUAUCUCGUGUCCUUCUCAUUUUGGUUCGAGGCUUACCGUACGAUAGCCUGGUUGCGACGGUGGAGACUGUGAUGAGGGAGGUCUCCAACUGCGACGCGUUUGUCACCGCCAUCUUCCCAGCACUCCAGUCGGCUGCCGGGAGCGCCAACGCAAGCGAGUCUGGUUUUGAGGAGCUAUUACAAGAUGCUCUAUCCUCUGUUCACGGCACUACCAUCAUAGGCGCCUAGCGCGGUGUGCAGGGCCACGCUAACGGGUGCGAGUAAGAUUUGUGGAUAGAGGAGACGCUGAAGCGACGCCUCGCAUCUUCUUUUCCUCAUUUUGGCCAACAAGGAGGUAUGAAGGCAGUGGUGCGUUUGAUCACUGAUUGCCUCGCUGAGGCCUGCUUCGUGCGUAAGCGAAAGAGGAAAGAUACAUACAGCGCUCUAAUCGAACUACGUACGCCGAGAACGAUAUCAGUGGUGUCCCCCCCCCCCGCUAGCGUCGCAUCUCUUCGUGCUCUUGGCACUCAGUAGUGCACCCUUCUCG